rnacentral:rRNA from 1 species
GACGUAGGGGGCGAGCGUUGUCCGGAUUCAUUGGGCGUAAAGCGCGCGUAGGCGGCUGCGCAAGUCGGUUGUGAAAUUCCGGGGCUCAACCCCGGAACUGCGUCCGAUACUGCGUGGCUAGAGGUAGGUAGGGGAGAUCGGAAUUCCUGGUGUAGCGGUGAAAUGCGCAGAUAUCAGGAGGAACACCGGUGGCGAAGGCGGAUCUCUGGGCCUUACCUGACGCUGAGGAACGAAAGCGAGGGGAGCGAACGGG